rnacentral:rRNA from 1 species
GGUAAUUACGGGCCAGCAGCCGCGGUAAUACGUAGGGCCCAAGCGUUGUCCGGAAUUAUUGGGCGUAAAGAGCUCGUAGGCGGUUUGUCGCGUCUGGUGUGAAAACUCGAGGCUCAACCUCGAGCUUGCAUCGGGUACGGGCAGACUAGAGUGCGGUAGGGGAGACUGGAAUUCCUGGUGUAGCGGUGGAAUGCGCAGAUAUCAGGAGGAACACCGAUGGCGAAGGCAGGUCUCUGGGCCGCAACUGACGCUGAGGAGCGAAAGCAUGGGGAGCGAACAGGAUUAGAUACCCUGGUAGUCCAUGCCGUAAACGUUGGGCACUAGGUGUGGGGCUCAUUCCACGAGUUCCGUGCCGCAGCAAACGCAUUAAGUGCCCCGCCUGGGGAGUACGGCCGCAAGGCUAAAACUCAAAGGAAUUGACGGGGGCCCGCACAAGCGGCGGAGCAUGCGGAUUAAUUCGAUGCAACGCGAAGAACCUUACCAAGGCUUGACAUGCACGGGAAGCCACCAGAGAUGGUGGUCUCUUUGGACACUCGUGCACAGGUGGUGCAUGGUUGUCGUCAGCUCGUGUCGUGAGAUGUUGGGUUAAGUCCCGCAACGAGCGCAACCCUCGUCCCAUGUUGCCAGCGGGUUAUGCCGGGGACUCAUGGGAGACUGCCGGGGUCAACUCGGAGGAAGGUGGGGAUGACGUCAAAUCAUCAUGCCCCUUAUGUCUUGGGCUUCACGCAUGCUACAAUGGCCGGUACAAAGGGCUGCGAUACCGUAAGGUGGAGCGAAUCCCAAAAAGCCGGUCUCAGUUCGGAUUGGGGUCUGCAACUCGACCCCAUGAAGUCGGAGUCGCUAGUAAUCGCAGAUCAGCAACGCUGCGGUGAAUACGUUCCCGGGCCUUGUACACACCGCCCGUCAAGUCACGAAAGUCGGUAACACCCGAAGCCCAUGGCCCAACCGUUCGCGGGGGGAGUGCGAGGGGACAGAC